GACAGUUCGCAGACGACAGUGCGUGUCAGAUCUCAUGAUAAGUUACUCUUAUGUUUGCUCUUCAUGUUACUUUUUUCGAAAAGAAGCUGUUCGUUUAACGUAUAGUGUGAGGAUUCGUGAGAAAGCUCAUCAGUGUUAAGUUAGGCGAGAAUGUGCUUUGCUAUGUUCGCGUCGCUAGAUUCCUUCAAAAGCUGCAGGAUCGUUUACCGCGACUGCAUAGAUGCAACGUAUGAGGCAGGUCACUUAUGGAUCCGUAAAAACUGCAUUCAGAGUCACACCGAUGAAUGCUUAUUUGCUAGCACGCAAUGUUCAGCCUAAAAAUCAGGCGGCUACUGUACUUAUAGCAUGGGAAGGAUUGUUGGACAAGCAUCAGCGCCAUUUUUAUUAAAGGAUGUCCAAUCAAAAAUCCUUAGACGUCGUCCAUCUGGAAGAUACACAGGCACUUCGCUUGUAGCUACUAUAGGCCAAAUCAUCUUAAACACGGUAGAACGAGAAAGCCCGUCCGACUUAAUACGGACAGGAAGCGUCAUCACAAGAAAUGGUGCGUAGCUAAGAACGGCUUUUAUCCGCUCCGUAGUGAAACUCGUAGGGGGCAUUUUCGUAGGUGUGACUUGGCGUUAGCCUGCUCGCUCAGAAAGACUGAACCACAUCUCUGGCCCAGUGGUUUAAUGUCACCCGUGUGAACGGGGGUGCAUGGAAGGAAGUCCAGCUAAAAAGUUUUUCUUCAUGUGACGACUGAAGAUUUUCUAUGGAAAGUAGCGGCGUCUGGUACGGAACGAAAGGGGACUGCUGCACAGACUUGUACAUAACCUGUACAUCCAUUUAUGGCUUCCUUUCGCCCGGCGGAAGCUGCAACGCCAUUAAUGUAUGGGAAAGGAAGAAAACAAGAUCUGGGCGACUUCUUUUCUGCCACAAUUUAAUUGGUACAAAUGAGUUUUUGCGUUGAUUAAGAGAGAGCAUCUAGGCUUCCAUCAAACUUGUGGAUAUAUGCUAUUUUGGAGACUAUGAGAUUAGGAGCUAUGUGUUCGGUCACUCAUAUCAUUCAAGCCAUGAUAGGGUAAAUUCAAGUGGUAACCCGCUUUACCAGCGGGUCGUGUAAAUGGGUUAAUCCCCUGACCUUAAAUGCCGAAAAAAACUGGCUAGCAAAAAGUCUCUCUGAUAUUCUAUAUAUAUGGAGGUUCCAUUUCCUGCAUACAAUAGCAGUUAGAAAAAUAGAUAAAAAACAACCUGAAAAUGAUUCAAGUUCAGCGACACAAAAAGUUCUUCAAGCUAUACAUUAACGUUCUCAUCCUUUCACGCGGAUAUUUUCAAUGCGGCACAUUUUUAACACGGUAAAUAAAGUGUCAUACAAUCAGAGUACAUAUUAGCUUUGUGUUUCACAUUGUCGCCAUUUUGCCACGUUUUGUUGACCAGCCGUCAAGGUGUCGUCAACUUUACACUAAAAAGGUGAUAAGUCACAUCUACAGGCCGGGCCUGCCGUCCACCGUUGGCUCGUUUACAGCAAUAAAGCAGUGAUUACAACUCGGCAAAAAAGAUAAAAUCCUGAAGACGGCGACUGCAAUGCUUAGAAAACACGACAACGAAACGUCAACCGUUUCUUUUCUGGAUAGACCGUAUUUGCCUCUUGACGCCAGUGGUAACGCAACUUUCUGAAACCAUCUAAAAGGUACAACCAUAACCUUGGCCAUCCAGUACUAAAGAAGAAGGGUAGCGUGCGAAAUAGACGCACCCCAAAGAAAGUUGGCAAGUAUGUUUGAAAACAAAUCACGGUCCUAUAUCCAGAUGACGGCUGGGCCAUAACCGUCGCAUAUUUUGGAAGGGCAAAAAUCGUCGCCUCAGACUAUAAUAUCCCUCUAUACUGGCAAGGUGUCAAAAGGCGCUCUGCUGAUAAACUCGAUAAAAACAACGAAUAGA
rnacentral:lncRNA from 1 species